rnacentral:lncRNA from 1 species
GAGCGAGUCUCAUAAAGCCGGAACUUUUGCAGAUAAAAGCCUCUGCUGUUUUCAUGUGAAUUGAUUAAACGCCGUUGCUUGUCAUCUGUCCCCAUGCUUCGCAGCUGUUCCAAACAUAAACAGAAUUCUUCUUUUAUCCCACAUAAACUUUAGAAUCAUAAUCACAAGCAAAAACAAAACAAAACAAAAACAAAAACUUGAAAUUAAGACUGAUAAAUCAAAAACAGAAAAGAGCAUAGGGAGAAAGAGAUCAACCAAGUAAAAGAGUGAAUUCUCGCCGACGGUGGAGGAGAGUGGUGAAUGGCGGGGUUUACAGAUCGGACAAGGAACAGCUCCGGCGACUAUGUCCACAUAAUAAAAUGGGUAUAUAUAUUUAGUUGGAAAAAAGAGUGUUCAAUUUUUUGUACAGCUAAGCGUAAAAAGGAACUUUUCAAAAUUGAGCCGUAUAAUAAUUCAAUCAUCAUCAUGCUGUCGUUAAUUUUCCUGCUUCUGAAUUUUAC